rnacentral:rRNA from 1 species
GACGAACGCUGGCGGCGUGCCUAAUACAUGCAAGUCGAACGCACAGUUUAUACCGUAGCUUGCUACACCAUAGACUGUGAGUUGCGAACGGGUCAGUAACACGUAAGUAACAUGACUGGUAGCGGGGGGUAAAUAUUGGACACGAUAGCUAAUACCGCAUAAUAUUCAUUAUUUCACGAUAAUUAAUUGAAAGGUGCAAUUGCACCACUACCAGAUGGACCUGCGUUGUAUUAGCUAGUAGGGGAGGUAACGGCUCACCUAAGCGACGAUACAUAGCCGACCUGAGGGGGGGAUCGGCCACAAUGGGACUGAGAAACCGGCCAGAAUCCUACGGGAAGCAGCAGUAGGGAAUCUUCGGCAAUGGACGAAAGGCUGACCGAGCAACGCCGCGUGAGUGAAGAAGGUUUUCGGAUCGUAAAGCUCCUUUGUAAGAGAAGAACGGAUGUGAGAGUGGAAAGUUCACACUGUGACGGUACCUUACCAGAAAGCGACGGCUAACUACGUG